AUUAGAUGGUAGGACGGGUUUGGG
rnacentral:siRNA from 1 species